CAAAGAUUUAUCGCUGAAAGAUGGGCUCGCGCCCGAUUAGGUAGUUGGUGAGAUAAUAGCCCACCAAGCCGACGAUCGGUAGCCGGACUGAGAGGUUGAACGGCCACAUUGGGACUGAGACACGGCCCAGACUCCUACGGGAGGCAGCAGUGGGGGAUAUUGCACAAUGGGGGGAACCCUGAUGCAGCGACGCCGCGUGAGGGAAGACGGUUUUCGGAUUGUAAACCUCUGUCUUUAGGGACGAAACAAAUGACGGUACCUAAAGAGGAAGCCACGGCUAACUACGUGCCAGCAGCCGCGGUAAUACGUAGGUGGCAAGCGUUGUCCGGAAUUACUGGGUGUAAAGGGAGCGUAGGCGGGAAUGCAAGUUGAAUGUUUAAACUAUGGGCUCAACCCAUAGUCGCGUUCAAAACUGCAUUUCUUGAGUGGAGUAGAGGCAGGCGGAAUUCCUAGUGUAGCGGUGAAAUGCGCAGAUAUUAGGAGGAACACCAGUGGCGAAGGCGGCCUGCUGGGCUCUAACUGACGCUGAGGCUCGAAAGCGUGGGUAGCAAACAGGAUUAGAUACCCUGGUAGUCCACGCCGUAAACGAUGAUUACUAGGUGUGGGGGGACUGACCCCUUCC
rnacentral:rRNA from 1 species